rnacentral:lncRNA from 1 species
CGUAGCCAUCCUCGCCUGCCUUCUCGCGCUGUUUCUAGCUCUCGCCAUCCCUCGGCGUACUCUUCCUCUCCUCCGAGUCAGAGUACCCUGGAGGGAUAAUGCUCUGCAGCACUGGCUAGAACUUCCAUCCCUGUGGUGAAUAAGAGUGAUGAAAGUGGACACCAUCGUAUUAUUGAAUUGAAGGGAACAAUCCCAAGAGAGUGCAGGACUGAGAUCCGAAAAUGUUAUUAUGGAGGGGAAAUAAAGGUUAUUUUGAAUGCUUCAAGGUCACGUGACUUGUAAGAAGAAGUCAGUUGCUAUGUACAAAGUCCUACUACUCUAAGACUGCCAUACCAUGAGAAGCCCAACCUAGCCAUGUGGAGAGGUCAUGUGAAGGAGAACUGAGUCUUCCAGCCAGCAACCCCAGCUGAGCUUCCAGCCAACAAACAGCACUAACUUGCAUGGGAGAAGCUGUCCAGGAAGUGAAUCCUUGAGCUCCAAUUGAGCUGCCUCAAGCUGGUGUCACGUGGAGCAGAGAUGAGCUGUCCCUGACAUACCUUGCACAAAUUUCAGAAACAUAAGUAAAUAAAAGAAAUAUUUGUAUUUUAAGUCAACAUGUGUUGAGGUGUUUU